rnacentral:rRNA from 1 species
CGGUGGAGCAUGUGGUUUAAUUCGAUGCAACGCGAAGAACCUUACCUGGGCUUGACAUCCCGGGAAUCCCUUGGAACAAGGAGUGCCUUCGGGAACCUGGAGACAGGUGCUGCAUGGCUGUCGUCAGCUCGUGUCGCGAGAUGUAGGGUUAAGUCCCGUAACGAGCGCAACCCUUGUCUUUAAUUGCCAUCAUUGAGUUGGGCACUUUAAAGAGACUGCCGGUGUUAAACCGGAGGAAGGUGGGGGAUGACGUCAAGUCCUCAUGGCCUUUAUGCCCAGGGCUACACACGUGCUACAAUGGGCGGUACAAAGAGAAGCAACCUCGCGAGGGUGAGCAAAUCUCAAAAAGCCGUUCUCAGUUCGGAUUGAAGUCUGCAACUCGACUUCAUGAAGUCGGAAUCGCUAGUAAUCGCGGAUCAGCAUGCCGCGGUGAAUACGUUCCCGGGCCUU